UUAGACACUCAGUUUAAACCCUCUUAUCCUAUUUUCACUAGAAGAGCAAAGCAAUCUCCUACCUUGUUUUGUCAAUAAGAAGGGAAUAUUAUUAAGUCCCAGUAAUCCUGUUGAUUACCAUAGUGGGCGUUUCUCUAGAACUAAGUAGAAUCUUUGGGGUUCCGAUGGCAAGAAUACAGAGUCAUCAAGCUUUAGAUGAAAUCUGUUUGGGGAGGUAAAGCCCAGUAAGUUCUUUGCUGCAGUUCUUAAUUGUGAGACUUAGUCUUAUGAUUUGGAAAAGGCCUCAAGUAUCCUGACUCUCUAGGCUGAGCCAAGAUGGGACAGCCUGAGCCAGACUGUCUUUGUUCUCUGGGCUCCUGCAGGGCAGCAGGAUGGGUGUGGAAGCAGUGAUGGCACUUUUGGAGGGGACCCCAGAUACCCCAGCCUGUGUAGUGAGCCUCUCUGGUAACCAGGCUGUGCGCCUGCCCCUCAUGGAAUGUGUCCAGGUGACCAAAGAUGUGACCAAGGCCAUGGAUGAGAAGAAAUUUGAUGAAGCCCUGAAGCUGAGAGGCCGGAGCUUCAUGAACAACUGGGAGGUGUACAAGCUUCUAGCUCAUGUCAGACCCCCGGUAUCUAAGAGUGGUUCGCACACAGUGGCUGUGAUGAACGUGGGGGCUCCGGCUGCAGGCAUGAAUGCUGCUGUUCGCUCCACCGUGAGGAUUGGCCUUAUCCAGGGCAACCGAGUGCUCGUUGUCCAUGAUGGUUUCGAGGGCCUGGCCAAGGGGCAGAUAGAG
rnacentral:sRNA from 1 species